GUAAACCUCUUUUCUCAAGGAAGAAGAACUGACGGUACUUGAGGAAUAAGCCACGGCUAAUUCCGUGCCAGCAGCCGCGGUAAUACGGAGGGUGCGAGCGUUAAUCGGAUUUACUGGGCGUAAAGCGUGCGUAGGCGGCAUGUUAAGUCGGAUGUGAAAUCCCAGGGCUUAACCUUGGAACUGCAUCCGAAACUGGCAAGCUAGAGAUCGGUAGAGGUUGGUGGAAUUCCCGGUGUAGCGGUGAAAUGCGUAGAUAUCGGGAAGAACACCAGUGGCGAAGGCGCUCUGCUGGGCCAUAACUGACGCUCAUGGACGAAAGCCAGGGGAGCGAAAGGGAUUAGAUACCCCUGUAGUCCUGGCCGUAAACGAUGAACACUAGGUGUCGGGGGAAUCGACCCCCUCGGUGUCGUAGCCAACGCGUUAAGUGUUCCGCCUGGGGAGUACGCACGCAAGUGUGAAACUCAAAGGAAUUGACGGGGGCCCGCACAAGCGGUGGAGUAUGUGGUUUAAUUCGAUGCAACGCGAAGAACCUUACCAGGGUUUGACAUCCUGCGAAUCUUUUGGAAACAGAAGAGUGCCUUCGGGAGCGCAGAGACAGGUGGUGCAUGGCUGUCGUCAGCUCGUGUCGUGAGAUGUUGGGUUAAGUCCCGCAACGAGCGCAACCCUCAUUUUUAGUUGCCUUAUGGAACUCUAGAAAGACUGCCGGUUAUAAACCGGAGGAAGGCGGGGAUGACGUCAAGUCAGCAUGCCCCUUACGCCCUGGGCUACACACGUACUACAAUGGUCGAGACAAAGAGUCGCAAGUCUGCAAAGACAAGCUAAUCUCACAAACUCGAUCUCAGUUCGGAUUGCAGGCUGCAACUCGCCUGCAUGAAGGUGGAAUCGCUAGUAAUCGCCGGUCAGCAAUACGGCGGUGAAUCCGUUCCCGGGCCUUGUACACACCGCCCGUCACACCAUGGAAGCUAGCCACACCCAAAGUCGUUACCUUAACCGUUUGGAGGGGGGCGCCUAAGGUAGGGUUAGUGACUGGGGUGAAGUCGUAACAAGGUAGCCGUACUGAA
rnacentral:rRNA from 1 species